rnacentral:tRNA from 1 species
GGGGAUUUAGCUCAGUGGCAUAAGUGCCUGCCUUGCAAGCAUGUGAUUGUGAGUUCAAUCCCCA